AUGAAAUUCCUACAACAUAUUAACCUUGAAGGUUGUGAAAGUUUUAUGAAACUUCCUGAUAGCAUUAUCAAGCUGCAAGGGUUGAGAUAUCUUGAUAUUGAUGACACACAUGUAUGUAGUAUUCCUAGGGGUUUCCGAGCUCUUACAAAUUUGAGUGCACUAUAUGGGUUUCCAGCCUAUACUGAUGGUGACUGGUGUAGUUUGGAAGAGUUGGGGUCUCUUUCCCAACUGAAUGGACUUUCAAUAAAGAGUCUAGAAAAUGUAUCUAGUGCCUUGUUGGCUGAAAAGGCAAGGGUAAAAGCAAAGAAAAAACUUACCAUACUUGCAUUAGAAUGUGGUGGUAGAGUGGGAGAUGGAUUGGUCCAAGGAGGAGUGUCCGAGUCUAAGGAGGAGGAGCAAAUAAUUGAGGCGGUGUUUGAUGUGCUAUGUCCUCAGCCUUGCAUAGAACACAUCGUCACAAAAAGAUAUUUUGGCCGCCGGCUCCCAGGAUGGAUGACGUCCACAGCUAUGGUGCCUCUCGAGAGCUUGAAGAUUCUUGUCCUCGAACACCUGCCCUGCUGCACCCAACUCCCAGAUGGCUUGUGCAGGUUCCCGUAUUUGGAGUGGAUAAAAGUGGACAAGGCUCCAGCAAUCAAGUGUGUCGGUCCUGAAUUCGUCCAACAGUACAAUCAGCUGCACCGUCCUUCAUCUCAGUUGGCUGCUACGUUUCCCAAACUCCAGCAGCUGGAUUUUAACGGAAUGGAGGAAUGGGAGGAGUGGGUUUGGGAGACAGAAGUGAAAGCUAUGCCCUUAUUGGAGGAACUUCGCAUCAGUCCUUGCAAACUGGGCCGUAUGCCUCCAGGACUUAUAUCUCAUGCGAUGACUUUGAAGAAGCUAAUAAUAUGGAACGUCCAAUGUCUCCACUCCCUAGAGAACUUUAUUUCUGUAAUUGAGCUCGACCUGUAUGACAUACCUGAAUUGGUCAACAUCUCCAAUCUUCCAAAAUUACAAAAGCUUACAAUCAAGUACUGCCCAGAGCUCAAGACAGUGCAGGAGAUGGCUGCACCACGGAGACUCGAUCUGGGAAUUUUCUACUACGAAAGUCAACUUCCGGUCUACCUGCAGACUGUCAAGCCUAGUAAUUUGCUGCUGACCUGCAGCCUUGAAGUACUCACUUCCAUGGCUGAGGGUGAAUCUAGCUCCGAGUGGGACAAGUUCAGUCAUAUCAAGCAAGUCGAGGCUUGUGCAGAGGAUGGAGCAGAUGAGAAGAAAUGGCACGUGUUCUACACAUCUGAAUCCUGCAAGAUACAGACAAAUAUUCAUGAGGGUCGAUUGGUGGAAGAAGAGGAAUAG
rnacentral:rRNA from 1 species